CUGCUGCUGUUAAAAAGCUCGUAGUUGGAUCAAGAGUUCGACAGUGCAAGGUGGCCCCGCUUGCUCACUUGGCUCCGGUCAUGUGUGCGGCGGCGGAUCAACCCCUUGCGCCAAACUGUCGUCUCUAACAGACCGAAGCGGUUCCCUGUGAGUCGGCCACUUAAUUGGGGCUGAAAGCGUUACGCAUUAACCACAUGCAUACGGGACGUCGGUCAAAGUUACUGUGAACAAACCAGCGUGUCCAAAACAGGCUUUGCCUGAAUGUUCGAGCAUGGAAUAACAAGGGAUCGAUUCUCUC
rnacentral:rRNA from 1 species